rnacentral:rRNA from 1 species
GGACUACUGGGGUAUCUAAUCCUGUUUGCUCCCCACGCUGUCGCGCCUCAGUGUCAGCCACUGCCCAGCAGGCCGCCUUCGCCACCGGUGUUCUUCCGGAUCUCUACGCAUUCCACCGCUACACCCGGAAUUCCGCCUGCCUCUACAGUGCUCAAGCCUCCCAGUUCGCACGGCCGACUCGGGGUUGAGCCCCGAGCUUUCACCGCACGCUUAAGCGGCCACCUACGCGCCCUUUACGCCCAAUGAUUCCGGACAACGCUCGCACCCUCCGUAUUACCGCGGCUGCUGGCAC